rfam:Gossypium raimondii Chr06_contig_476, whole genome shotgun sequence.
UAUUAAAAAUUUUAUUUAUUUGUACUGUUAAUAAUUGACAUCAUUGGAAGAAUAACCAAAUAAUGACAUAUGGCGUGCUACGUAUACCUCACGUUAAUGUAUAGAGACUAAUUUUUAACAGUAGAAAUAAAUAAAAUUUUUAACA